rnacentral:rRNA from 1 species
AGUGAACGCUGGCGGUAGGCCUAACACAUGCAAGUCGAACGGCAGCACAGUAAGAGCUUGCUCUUACGGGUGGCGAGUGGCGGACGGGUGAGGAAUACAUCGGAAUCUACUUUUUCGUGGGGGAUAACGUAGGGAAACUUACGCUAAUACCGCAUACGACCUACGGGUGAAAGCAGGGGAUCUUCGGACCUUGCGCGAUUGAAUGAACCGAUGUCGGAUUAGCUAGUUGGCGGGGUAAAGGCCCACCAAGGCGACGAUCCGUAGCUGGUCUGAGAGGAUGAUCAGCCACACUGGAACUGAGACACGGUCCAGACUCCUACGGGAGGCAGCAGUGGGGAAUAUUGGACAAUGGGCGCAAGCCUGAUCCAGCCAUACCGCGUGGGUGAAGAAGGCCUUCGGGUUGUAAAGCCCUUUUGUUGGGAAAGAAAAGCAGCAGGUUAAUACCCCGCUGUUCUGGCGGUACCCAAAGAAUAAGCACCGGCUAACUUCGUG